CUGUAAUUUUAUGAUAGAGUACUCAGAUCAGCCGUUCAGUUAUCUUGACGAUAAACACUUUAUCCGAUAAGAUAACUCUGCAUUUCCACGCCUCCUCUAAACUGGCUAUUCUAAUGAACCUCUCCAUCCACCACCACCCCAUUGGAAAAAAAAAUGCAGUUGAAUCACCUAUUUGUAGAGCCCCUGAAACCAGGAUGGAUCACAUUCAAUACUUUAAAAAAAUCAUUUUUGUAGAUUGUUGAGAAAGAAAUAUGUUUCAGAUGAUCCUGUUUAGAGCUGUGUGUUAACCUCUAAGAGGCCUAGCUGAAUUGUUGCAGUGAGUUCUAGCUAGGCUCAGGGCAGUAAGGGAAGUGUGUCCCAAUGUGGUCUAUUGGAGGGUGGUGACCACAUAAUAGCCAUCAUUUCCUCAGAGGAAGGAGUGCCCAGGAAUAGAAAUGAGGGCCUGGCGGUCUCACUGUCCCUCCCUAAGGCUGCCAGCCUAUGAUGGUGGAGAGGGAAGGUCUGUUUCCAUGUUCUCUGGAAUCUCAGGACGAGUGUGGGAUAAGGAGAGCAUGGUAAGGCAAAGCCAGGGGUCCUGGAUAUGAAUCCCUCUUCUGACUUGUAGCAGAAAUGUGACACUGAGCAAUUCACCUUGUAAGGUGACAUGUAGAAACAGUAACAUAUACAGAGAUCUUAAGCUGUGUUUUAUAUGCAUUUUUUACAUGCAUAGAUUCCCAGAAAGCUGUCAGGCCUCUGGGCUCAUUUUGUUGGUUUGUGGUUCCAGACUGAAAGCAGAUUUUGUCUGAAUCCAAAUUCACCCUGUGGAUUUUGUUUUGAAAGCUUGCAGUCAUUCAGAAGAUGUUGCUAGAUCAUGUGCAGGGAUGGGGUGUGUCUAUGUGUGCAUGCGUGUGUGUGCAUGUGUGUGUGCACGUGCAUGGGUGACAACGGAAGCUGGUGCUUAUGGUUUGCCUUAGUUUUCAGGGAGGGGAGCAAGAUGCCCAGCAGAGGCAAGACAGGGUGCUUUCCCAUGGCUAAGGAGUCAGUGGGUUUGAAUGGUUGCUAGCUUUCUGUUACUGUGACAAAUACUGGUGAUAAGUUAACUUAAAAAGAAGAAAAGUUAUUUGGACUCACAGUUUUAGCAAUUUGAAUCCAUGAUUGCUUAUCCCAUUGUCCAGGCCUGUGGGAGGCAGCACAACACGGUAGGGGCGGAGCCAAGCUGCUCACCUAAUAAGGGGGGGGGGCAUGGGAGAUGGAGGUGUCAGGGUCCCAAUACCCCAUCAAGGGCACACCCCAGGAACAUAACUUCCUCCCGCUAGGCCCCACCUCCUAAGGUCUCCACCCACUCCCAGCAGCGCUUUAGGCUGGGACCCAAGGUUAAACACUGGAACCUCUGAGGGACUUCAGGAAACCACAGCAGUUUGGGAUUCCAGAGGGAGCCCUGGGAAUCUGAUUAGACCUUGAAAGGAAAUGACUGCUUGGUGUCCCCUGUGAGCAGAAUGGGGCAAGGAGGAGGGGCCGACCUUCCUAAGGACCUGGGUGCAAAGGGGCUUCCUC
rnacentral:lncRNA from 1 species